rnacentral:tRNA from 1 species
UGGCGGGUGUCCCGAGCGGCAAAGGGGCCGGACUGUAAAUCCGGCGGCUAGAUGAGGCCUUCGGGGGUUCGAGUCCCUCCCCGUCAACCA